rnacentral:ncRNA from 2 species
GGCGAAGAAUGUCAGCUUUGGGCCCCGGCCGGCUGACUGGCAACCCUCCACUGUGGCGGGGUGCCGCCGGGGAUAAGCCGGGUGACAUGGGUGUCAUGUCGCAAGCACAGGAA